ensembl:lncRNA
ACAUCACCUAUUUGCAACACAGGAACUCCCUAAAUUUGCCUUUCCAGACUUUAGAGUGUACUGAGAGUCUUGGACUCCAUGUUCCCUGAUGAUUACCAAAGCGAGACUGCCGGAAGAGGGGAGCAUGCUGGCAGAGCCACGCCUCACCUGAGUGACUUGAAGAAGCUGGAGAGUCAUGGAGCUGGGAUGAGUUCCUUAGGCUAGACAACAAACAUUACAAAUGCCAUGCCAUAUGCAAUAUCACUAUACAUAAUAUGUAAAUUGAAAAAAACAGAUGUUGCAAAGCAAGCUGUCAGUAUGGUAGAACCAAGUUAUUGUUUUUGCAGCUAUUAAUCAACCUGCUUCUGUAUAUUCAUUCCAACAAAUGUGCCUGACAUUGACUUCACCUGGGAGACCUGUAGGAGAGCUGGGGCUGACAGCUCUCCUGGAUUUGCCAGUGCCAGAAAGACAGCGAUCAUAUUGUCUGGUGUUCUGCAUCAUGCAGUGGGUGUUAAAUUUUGUGUGGUUAAAAAUCUUAAAAUGUAUGGGAGAUGGUCAGCUUUCUUGUUUUAUUCAAAGUCUGGUUUCCAUCAUGAAAGCCUGCGAAACUUGAAGGAUAUAGGUUCCGGUCACAAGAAUGCAAAGCAGUGAUCUAUUGUGUCUUUUCUUCUUUGUGCUCUGGAGUUUAACCAGCACACUAGUCUAAUAUUCUCUUGCUUGCUAGUGGCAGUUUCUGUUUCUUUUUUGUUUUGGUUUUUUUUGGUAGUGGUAGUCAUUAGAUUUUCUCCCAAGAGAAUUACUGCCAAAGUAAACAAACAUCUUCAUGGAAGGAAAAUAAUGUCUAGAGUAUUCAGAAUUCCAUGUUUUACAGAUGAGUAUUUGUGGCAACCAACUAGCGAAUUAAAGUGAAUGAAAUCCUUUUUCUAGUUUGCUACUUUUGCUGUGCUAAUUGAAUGUGACAAUUUCUGCUAGCUUCUCAGCUCUGCAGUGCAAGUACUGGAUGCCAGUUAUAAUUUAAGAUUAAGAAAAAUAUGAGAUGAAACUUGGUUUAAAAAAAGAUUUUAUUUUUUAUUUUUAUUGGUGGGAAUUGAAUAGUACAUGUAAACCUCCAAGGAAUUGCUGUUGUCUCUAAAGUGUUCUGCAUGUGGUUGGCAAGAAAAACAAGGAGAGAGGAAAGUUCAGCUAAAAAAUUCAUAAAGGCUGUCUGGUGGAAUGCAUUACAGUCAUCUGUAUACCUCUGUGCUCUUAUCCCUCUGAACUGAUAAUUUUUAGCUGAGAUGAAACGUUCUGACAAACAGGAGGCUGGCAGAUUUGCAGCAUAGAUUGUUUGAAGGUUUAAAUACUGUGACUAUCUCAGCUUACUGCAAGUCUGUAGAUAUAAUGUAAGCUGGAGUUGCUGAAAAGUGAUAGAAUAGCUCAUAUGAACAGCCAAAAAACCCUGUAAAGAGCUUUUAUUGUGUGCUUCAGAAUUCUGCAGUCUUUCUCUAUCUUUCUACAGGAUAGCAAUAAUUCACCAGUAGAGCAGAGACACUUCAAAUUUGUUGACGAUGAGACCAUAUCUAGUUCUUUGUUUAGGCAAAGGCUUUCACAAAGGGGACCAGUGGUAACUGGGAGCUGCUGCCAACACCAUCAUAUGUUUCUUGACAAAUGCAAAGUGUUCAAAAAGUUGGCACUACAAAAUAGAGAUACUGUCAAUCUUUGUUUAAUUCUCAAAAUGGCUUUUAAGCUUUUAAAGCUUGUGUUGUUGCUGGCACACUUGCAUAUCAGAUAACAUUUUUGACAGUCCUUAUAAUAUGGCUGGUUAAUUUGGUCACAUUACUAGAACAUAAACCAAAAUUCUGUGAGUGCUAAGAUUUUACUGCUGGUUUUUCCUACGUGCCAUGAGCAGAAGAAGGGUAUGUUCAGCAGUGUGUGCUACUAUAGCCAGAACACAGUAUUUUCUUAUCUCCUUUUCUCUGCACCAUGCAGAUGCAGCUGCCACUGUUUAUCAAACAUGAAGGUGUUGUUCACAGCUCUGUGAGUAAGUUUGGGUUUUGCUUUACAUAAUGCAGGAGACAUCUCUACUAAUUGCACAAAUGUUCAGCCCAUAUUUAUGUACUGGAUAUUGUGGUGUAGGAGGCAAAUUAAAAUUUUAAGGUAUUAUUUCUGUGAUCAUUGGCUAGGUCUCCAGAAGCUCAUGGACCUGGAUUUUGCUGGGAAUAACUGUGUGGUGCUUCCAGUUAUAGAAUAAUCUGUUCUGAAGGGUGGAAUACUCCAGUGUGAAUGCAUGUAGAUGAGGUAGGAGACCCAAGGAAACUCUGUAAAUUUUUGGGCAAGGAGGCUUUGAAGUAGCAGUCAUGAGUCCUGCAGGUAGCCCUGAUCUCAGGUGCAGCAGGAGGAAGCAAGUGUCUGUAGCUACUAGGUCUGCCCCCCUGGAGGAAGUGUACAGAUCAUGUAGCAACUUAAACAGAAGGAGUAUAUGUUUGUACCUCAGCAGGCUAUUAAAAAAGUGCUUUCAACUGCUACAAGAAAAUUUAUUAAAGCUUACUUAUUAAACUCAAAGCAAUAGAAGAACAGGUUCCCCUUCUGAACCAUAGCAUCUGUGUUGUACAAAAACCAAAGGCAGCCUCUCUGAUUUAUAUGUGAAAAUAUAUUCUCUUGUACUUGACCUUAUUUUCUCUUUGAGUGUAAGACGGAUGCUCACUAGUUUUACACCACCACCCACUGCUUCAGUAAGAUUAUUUUCAACAGAUUCUGCAAGAAAUUUUCUGCUUUAAUUAAUACGGAAUUAUCUCAGAAAUUACCAGUGCAGACUCUUCAGAUUUAGCAUAGAACUAAAAUUAGUCAGUCUAGAGCAGAAGAAGCACAGAUUAAAAUUUAAAAAUACAUUAACCAUAUAAUUGUGAGUAAUUAUGAUGAUAUAUCCAGUAGUCAAGAUGGGGUCAACAGUGCUGGGCCGGCCACACGGGAUAUCAGAGUUUAGCUAGUCAGGAGCAGCCAGCCUGCUUGAAGGGUAGGAUUUCUUUCCCAUUUGCUGAGGGCAUGCAGCUUCUUUUAGGAAAUGCUCCAUUAUCCAUGGCUGGAAUGAUGAGACUUGUCUAGUGAUGAGGCUGUCCUUCUGGGGGGAAAAGGGGCAGGCCUGGAUGCAGUGCAGAAUUGAACUCAGCUCUGCCAUACAGCAAAUGAAGGCUCUCUCAACACUUGGCUGGUUUUAGUCAUGUCCCAGCUUCAUGCCUUCCCCACCCCUGGCUUUUUGCUUGUUUUUUAACCUACUAAGUUAUAUUUCUGAACAGUGUAUAGUGACUCUACUGAAGCUUUCACUUAUUUUCCUGUGGGUCUCCCUCCUCCUUCUAAAUAUGCCUAGCUCUAGAUGGGACUCAGAAACAAGAAAUCUUGAGUUCUCCCAUAAUAAUUUACAUGUCUGAUCUGAUGAUGAAUUGUAAAUCAGUUAAGCUUCAUGACUUUUGAACAUUCAUGCAAUUAUGAUACAAAGACAUUGAAAAGCAAUAUGCUAAUUUUGCCCCAUAUAUUUUGGUUACUAAAGGUCAUAUUAUCCACAUGAUUAUUUCUUAAUGCUCAUGUAUAGCAUUCUUAAUAAUUGUAAAGAAAAGAAAUCAAAGAAAAAUUCUUUGCCAAGAAACUAUACAAAACCUAAACAUAUUAGAAUAUUAAUGCUAAAAUAUUUUAGAAGUCCAUUAGCUAUAAAAAAUAAUUGAAACCUAGAAAAUGUAGGGAAAAUAUUGCAUUUCAAUAAAAUGAAAUAUAUUAAAAAAUAAAACA